GGAAGGAUCAUUAACAAAAACAUAAACUACUAACUAACUGUUAUAGAAUAUAUUUGGUUUACCAAAUAUACUCAAUAAACUUAUAAAAAUAAAACUAUAAAUAAAUCUAAGGUUGAUAAAAUCUUAAAUUUUCAACGAUGGAUGUCUUGGCUCCCAUAUCGAUGAAGAACGCAGCUAGAAUGCGAUAUGCAAUGUGAAUUGCAGAACCAUGAAUCAUUGGAUCUUUGAACGCAACUUGCACUGGUAAAACCAGUAUGCUUGUUUCAGUGUGCUCAUUCAACUUUACAAUAAAAAUGUAAGAGAUCUUUCUCUUAUUAAAUAAAUGCUCCUGUAGCAGUCACAAUCAUUUGUGAACUACAGUUCUUGUACAAUGACAAUAUUCGCACCUGAAAUCAAGCAAGAUGACCCGCUGGACUUAAGCAUAUUACUAAGCGGAGGAAAAGAAAUUAACAAAGAUUACCUUAGUAAGGGCGACUGAACCGGUAAGAGCUCAAAAUUGGAAUCGAUGAUUCAAUGAAUCUUCGAAUUGUAAUCAGGUCCGCCUAAAUACGAAAAAGCGCUAAAGUACGUCGAAACGUACGCCAGAGAGGGUGACAGCCCCGUACAGCGUUUUUUCGAGUAAGGGGGAUCCCAUAAGAGUCGGGUUGCUUGGAACUGCAGCCCUAAGUGGGAGAUAUGAAUCUUCCAAAGCUAAAUAUCGAUGGGAGACCGAUAGCGAACAAGUACUGUGAAGGAAAGAUGAAAAGGACUUUGAAAAGAGAGUGAAAAGAUCUGAAAUCGUUGAGAAGGAAGCGGUAGAAACUGAUGGUCGUUAUGACGAGUUACAUGGUGAACAGCCAUGCAAACUUGACUAAAGCGACGGGCAAAAUGAAGUUGGAACUACCAAAAAAGGCUUUGCCUGUUAGGGUAGAUCCAGCUUGAGGGACUAUUGUGAUUUUGCCAAAAUGGUUUUUACUGUCCCGUCUUGAAACACGGACCAAGGAGUCUAACCUAUAUGCGAGUGUGCGAGUGCAAAAACUCAUACGCGGAAUGAAAGUAAAAGGUGCGCAGCGCAAGCGGCAGCAUCGACCGACCUAGUACGAAAGGUUUGAGUAAGAGCAUAUCUGUUAGGACCCGAAAGAUGGUGAACUAUGCCUGAGUAGGGUGAAGUCAGGGGAAACCCUGAUGGAGGCUCGUAGCGUUGUUGACGUGCAAAUCACUCGUCAAACUUGGGUAUAGGGGCGAAAGACUAAUCGAACCAUCUAGUAGCUGGUUCCCUC
rnacentral:misc_RNA from 1 species